GUGCUCGCUUUGGCAGCACAUACACUAAAACUGGAAUGACAGAGAAGAUUAGCACAGCCCUCGCACAAGGGUGACAUGGACAUUUGUGAAGCAUUCCAUAUUUUU